GUAGUUGUGGCAGAGUGGUUAAGGCAAUGGACUAGAAAUCCAUUGGGGUCCCCCUGCGCAGGUCCAAAUCCUGCCAACUAAGCA